rnacentral:misc_RNA from 1 species
CACUGACUCUUGUCCUCCUGUUCCCUGCCUGUGUGCAGUUUAGGAAGCGCUCAAUGCGACUCCACGCUCCACCGGUGUGAAAUAUGGUUUGCUGCUUGCCGGUUAAAGCCGCCCGUACUUGUCUUCUGUUCUGCGCAUCGUAGUGUUGCAAACAUGUCGAGCAGGCCUCUCUUAGACGACGCACACCUCUCACGUGGCGUGGGUAUCCGGUUUGUGUCGCUUGUCGUACCUGUGACUGCCACCAUGUUGGCCGUGGUGUGGAGCCUCUCAUGCCUCUCGCCUAUCUACGUGAACAGCCAGGUGCCGCCUCUGCCGGUGGUGGUAAACGAGAAUGACGCGGCCACUGCGGGCGAGAAGUUUGUGUACUCACUGGUGGCGGCCCUGAUCGUCGUUGGGUGCGUCGUGGCCGCAACUUUUGCAACUGUGCUGCUCUAUCACUUCCAUCUCCAGUUUGUAUUGUAUGGCUGGCUGGCGUUUUCGGCAGUGUCGAUGUUUUUUAUGCUGCUGUGGAUUUGGCUGGACUUGUUCUGCACAUAUUUCCAAAUCCCUUACAACGUCAUUUCGAUGGGCAUCUUUGUGUGGAACUUCGGCGUGGUGGGCCUCAUCGCCCUCUUUUACUACUCUCACCCUACUGUGACGCAGGUGUAUUUGGUCAUCGCCUCCAUCUUGACUGCGUGGUCGCUGACGGCGCUGCCGGAAUGGUCGACGUGGUCGUUGCUGAUCUGCAUCGCCACGUACGACAUUCUUGCAGUUCUCUGGCAGCAGGGGCCACUGCAUCGGCUAAUCAAGAUAGCUCAGGAACGCGACGAGCCGAUACCCGGAUUCGUCUACAGCAGUGCACACAGCAUUGUUCCGAUUACGCAGCCUGCAACAGCGAGCUCGGCGCGUGUGCCGGCAACGGCAGCCGAGUCCUUCAUGUGGACGGUGCAGCACGCCACUCCAUUCAAGCUGGGCCUUGGCGACUUUAUCUUUUACAGCCUUCUUGUUGGCCGUGCCUCAUUUUCUGGCUUUGUGUCGUGGAGUUUCUGUAUGGUGAGCAUCCUGGCGGGUAUGCUGGGCACGCUGCUGUCCUUGCUGCUUUUCCGCAACUCGCUGCGCGCGCUGCCAGCUCUGCCGUGCUCCAUUUUUCUCUCUACUGUCGUCUUUGUGCUCUGCAGGCUAAUUGUGGAGUCGCUGAGCUCCUUCACGAGUCAUCACCUGUUGGUGCUGUAAUUCACCCGUGUUGCCUCCUCUCUUUUUUGGCUUGCUCUCCACUGCGUACUCGCCGUGCGUGCGUGUACGGGUGUGCUUGAUUUUCCUUGGCUGCCGUCACGCACUCCGCUAGGGAAAGCAUCGCACACAACUUCACCGACCUCCACGACUAGCACGAGACGAUCCAUUAUGGACUUUCAGGAAGCGAGGAAGAGGGAGACGUAUCGUGGCAAACGUGCUGUGCUGACGCGGCAUUUUUGCCCUUGCCACGGUGCGGCGAAGCGGAUGCUGCUCUCUCGGAUGAGUACUCCGUUGCUCGUGCCUACGGGCCUCGCAAGCAUCACUAUUAUGGGCGUUGUAUUCUCACUUACUCCUUCGGCUUCUUUUAUCCCAGUCAAAUGUGACACACGGACACGAUUUCCGACUCUGCAUCCUCUCGUCGUGCGAUAAUCUUUCCAUUGAUGUCUUCUAUCUUCUACCGCUUUUACACGCUCUAUCUAUAUGUGUGCGUACCGACUCCUCUUGCCACAAG